CCACGACCACCCCCUUCAAUUUUAUUAUCAAAAUAUGUAUACCAGACACUGGGAAACUCACGUAAACAAGUUUCGGCUAUUCAGGAUUAGUUUAUGUGGAAUGUUUAUCACACAAUUGUUAGAAAGAGAUUAACAAAUGACGAAUAAAUAGCCUAUUACAUCUGAGAAGUUUUAAUUAGGUCUAGCCCAAUCAACGCGGAGAGACAUUUUAUAAAAGCAAUUGUAAUAUUCGGAAACAGCCGAUUAGGUUGCAUUUACAAAAUAAUCGAAUGAAGAGGAGGAAUUCUAUAUAAAACGUUGUUUGCAUUGCUGUCCCUUUGCUCAAUUACUUUGGAAGCCCAUACCCGCAGCAUUUGUUCUUGAUGCCUUCUGGGAGUCCACCUACUGGCGAAAUAACAUCAGUAACAUUCAGAAGAUUCUUUCUGGGGUUCUUCAGUCCAAACUUGGAAUGCAGCCUGCCAAAAGCUCUCCCCAUGGGACUCUUAUCGGAAGAGGCAGGGUCCUCAAUUAGUUUCUGUUUUACUCUGACUGGAGCUAUGAAUCUGAGUUGUUCUCUCUCUCUCUUUGUAUAUCCAGCACUUCAUUCUCUGUCACCUUCUUUCCACUUCUUGCUUAACUUCUUUCUGUCUUGCAUCAAUUUUUGCAAUAUGCAUUGUUCUUUCUCCUUCAAAUUACUUUUUCUGUUCAAUCUCUUUCAGUUUCUCAACCUCUCCCUUCAAGUCAUUUAGCUGUUUGUUGACCAGUUUAACUCCCUCACUCUCUGCGAUAUGCAUGGAUCUUUCAUUUUCAAAUAACUGCUUUGUUCAAUCUCUUUCAAUUUCUCAACCUCUCUCUUCAACUCAUUAGCUGUUUGUUGACCAGUUUAACUUCUUCAAUAUUUGCGAUAUGCAUGUUUUUUCUCCUUCAAAUUACUUUUCCUGUUUAAUCUCUUUCAGUCUCUCAACCUCUCUCAACAUUUUGUUGACCAGUUUAACUCUCUCGCUUUCUAGUUUACAAAUGUCUUCAUCUUUUUAAGAACACAUUUCUGGUUUAAUCUCUCAAUCUCUUGUGUCAGUGCUUUUAUUUUUUCCUUGUCCUGUUUUGCUUUCUCAUUUAUUCCUUGUCUCUCCAAUCCUGCUUUUAUCUCUGUCUCCUCUCGCCUUGUCUCAAUCAGUUUGUCGUUGCAGGCCAGUCGUGGUCUCUGAGUCAUAAUGACUUUCUGCCUCAGCUUUAAUCUAUUUCUGGCUGAAAUAAAAUUUUACAUUUGUUAUAAUAUGACCAAUACAUCAUUUUAAUAGAUAUAACUAGACUAAUAGAAAUUAUAAAAAAAACUAUAUUGUAUAGCUGAUGAGAGCCAAGUAUAACCAAGAAUGUGCAUAUUAAUAGCAUUAACUAAUGUAGUACACAAAUGCUAGAUACCCUGAAGACACAGUCCAUGACUUUUGAACUCUGUUUGUAAAACUGGCACUGUUGUGAAUUUGCCGACUUGUCAUCAAAACACCUUGCUUUCAAACACUGAAUUCAUUGACUAACUGAGGUAUUAUAGUGAUUUUACUAAUUUCACACAUACAGUGCCGUCUAUGACUAUUGUGAUUAUUGACAGUCUAGGCAAAUAUGAACAAAAAAGGCUGGGAAGAAAAGUAAUCGCUGUUCAUCAGCUUGAUCUUACACUGAAAAAAUAUAAUGACUCUAACCUUAAAUUGGAGGCCCGGUUACCCAAAGCAAUAAGAUGAUCAUAAGUUGCACGUAAGUGCCUCGUCAUAUUAUCAGGGCGUUUCCCGAAAGCAUUGUUACUGAUGUAGCAGGAAACAUCGCUUGUUAAUUAACAAGUGCCCCCGACCACUCGUUAGUCCAUCGUAACAAGAACUUUACUGUUUUUGGGAAAUAGCGCCUCCCUCAACAUGCAAGUUGUGAUCGUAAACAGUUAAUAUCAAGGUUUAUAGAACGAAUAAAAAGUAUCAAAACUGUUUUGAUUUUGACCAAUUUAUUUAGACAAAUAUAUUUACAUCCACUCGCACACUUGUUAUAUCUGAAUGCAAUUGAUCAACUGAUGAAAAAUGAAAAUGCACUUAAAAUAAGAAAUAAUGAAGAAAAAGUCUGAAACACCGUACAUUGUACAGGUGCAGUGCUGUCUUUGACCGAUAGGAGCUGGUGCCUCUACCUCUUCAAGAAGAACAUUGAUUUCUUCAGCUCUGAAUGCUUGUUUUCUCUUGCAUUCUAUUUGUAUUCCAAACAAUUAGAAUGGAUUUAAAAAUAAAAUAAUCUAUAUACUUUCAGGAGGAACUUGAUCGAUUUCCCGAGAUAUGCUGUCCACCCCAUUGGUUGGAACAGUUUUGUCCACCCACUUCUUCGAGAUUUGCAUUUUCCUAUUGAUGCCUAAAUAGUAGUAGAUUAUAGCAAGCUAUAUCGAAAUGCAAUGAAUACGCUGUAUUUCAAAACGUGUGCAUGCUCAAUUCCAUUCCAAAACCUAAAAAUUGCAUAAUUCCAUUCCAAACGACCGUAGCGUGGGGCACUUACGAGGGAGGUUUGGGAAACAGGCGUAAGUCCGUCGUAACAAAGUCCCUCCAUGUGCAUCGUUAAACCCUAUUAAGUGCAGUUAUUGGGAAACCAGGCCCAGAUCCUUCAGAGGCCUUUGUCCUUGCAAAUACUCUCUUUUCAGCUCAUCCCACAGGUUUUCAAUGGGAUUUAGGUCAGGCGACUGUGAGAAUGCUUGAUUCUGUGGUCAGUGAACCAUUUUCUUGUGGAUAUGGAUGAAUUAAUUGGAUUCUAAACGUAACUAGCCUCCAUUUUCGCUGAAUUGGAUUACAGGUCACCCUUUGUUAGCUAGCGGUUAGCUGACGUUUCCUAGCUAGCUACAGUAACAUCAACCAG